rnacentral:rRNA from 1 species
UACGUAGGGUGCGAGCGUUGCCCGGAUUUAUUGGGCGUAAAGGGCGCGUAGGCGGUCACGCACGUCCGUUGUGAAAACUCGGGGCUUAACCCCGAGCCUGCAGUGGAUACGGGCAGACUAGAGGUAGGUAGGGGAGAAUGGAAUUCCCGGUGUAGCGGUGAAAUGCGCAGAUAUCGGGAGGAACACCGGUGGCGAAGGCGGUUCUCUGGGCCUUACCUGACGCUGAGGAGCGAAAGCGUGGGGAGCAAACAGG